UUUGUGAAAAUUCCACACAGAUAGAUGCUUAUGAAGAUGAUCACUGGAUUGUCUGGUCCAGACUCGAUUAUUUACAGACCGCCGCCAUAUAGCUGGAAUAUUUGCUGAGUA